AUGUCGUGGUGAGGACACUUUCUCAGCAAUUCCUUGAACCUAUCCCAAGAGUCAUAUAAGAAUUCCCCCUCAAGCCGGUAAAAAUUAUUGAUCUCCCCCUUAAUUU